AUUGAACGCUGGCGGCAUGCCUUACACAUGCAAGUCGAACGGUAACGGGCCUUCGGGUGCCGACGAGUGGCGAACGGGUGAGUAAUGUAUCGGAACGUACCUUUCAGUGGGGGAUAACGUAGCGAAAGUUACGCUAAUACCGCAUAUUCUGUGAGCAGGAAAGCAGGGGAUCGCAAGACCUUGCGCUGAUUGAGCGGCCGAUAUCAGAUUAGCUAUUUGGUGAGGUAAAGGCUCACCAAGGCGAAGAUCUGUAGCGGGUCUGAGAGGAUGAUCCGCCACACUGGAACGGAGACACGGUCCAGACUCAUCCGGGAGGCAGCAGUGGGGAAUUUUGGACAAUGGGCGCAACCCUGAUCCAGCCAUGCCGCGUGAGUGAAGAAGGCCUUCGGGUUGUAAAGCUCUUUCGGCCGGGAAGAAAUCGUAUCAGCUAAUACCUGGUGCGGAUGACGGUACCGGCAUAAGAAGCACCGGCUAACUACGUGCCAGCAGCCGCAGUAACAC
rnacentral:rRNA from 1 species